AUACGGAGGGUGCAAGCGUUAUUCGGAAUCACUGGGCGUAAGGACGCGUAGGCGGGUUGGCAAGUCAGAUGUGAAAUCCUACAGCUUAACUGUAGAACUGCAUUUGAAACUGCUAACCUAGAGUAUGGGAGGGGGAGAUGGAAUUAGUGGUGUAGGGGUAAAAUCCGUAGAUAUCACUAGGAAUACCGAGAGCGAAGGCGAUCUCCUGGAACAUAACUGACGCUAAGGCGUGAAAGCGUGGGGAGCAAACAGGAUUAGAAACCCUAGUAGUCC
rnacentral:rRNA from 1 species